GGACUACUGGGGUAUCUAAUCCUGUUUGCUCCCCACGCUUUCGCACCUCAGCGUCAGUAAUGGACCAGUGAGCCGCCUUCGCCACUGGUGUUCCUCCGAAUAUCUACGAAUUUCACCUCUACACUCGGAAUUCCACUCACCUCUUCCACACUCAAGACACCCAGUAUCAAAGGCAGUUCCGGAGUUGAGCUCCGGGAUUUCACCCCUGACUUAAAUGUCCGCCUACGUGCGCUUUACGCCCAGUAAUUCCGAACAACGCUAGCCCCCUUCGUAUUACCGCGGCUGCUGGCAC
rnacentral:rRNA from 2 species